rnacentral:lncRNA from 1 species
CUAAAUUUAAUUUAAUAUUUGUCAUUUUAGUGAAAAUUCUCAUCCACGUGGGAUAGGCGAAGUCUAGUAAAAUCACAUUCUUCCCUGAACUUUGGAAUCAAAAUUAAACCAAAAUUAAAGAGGACAUGUUGAAUUCUCAACGCCAAGUGAAACUCAAAGGUAUGUAAUGUUUUUUUUAAAUAAAGUUGUCGAAUUUUGGCGAGUAAAAGUGCUCAAAAAUUCUUGUUCAAGUUGAGGACCGCAAGCCGGCUUGGGCGUAAAUAUGUCGCAUUAAAUUUUUGUCCCGUCCUGGCAUAAACUCGCUGAAUUUAUCAUUGCUUUUCGUUAUCUUUAGUUUAAAAUAGUAGAAGAACAUAUCCAUAAAGUUUCAGUGUGUUUUAGAGCUAAAUUAAAUUUCAUAUUUGUCAUUUUAGUUAAACAAUUCUCAUCCACGUGGGAUUAAUGAAGUCAAGUAAAAUCACAUUCUUGCCUGAAUUUUGGAAUCAAAAUUAAACCGAAAUUAAAGAAGAAAUGUUGGAGUCUUGACUUCAAGAGAAACUCAAAGACUGAAUUGAGGUAUGUAUUUUUUAUUUUUAUGUAAAAAGUUCGUAUUUUUUGUGAGUAAAAAUAUUUGAUAAUUUUUGUCGACGUCGCCAGGCAAUAAAUAGGCAGAUCUUUCUCUUGGUAAUCCGGUCUCCCUUCUACGCCAAAAUUAAGCACUAUUAAAGACUUAGUUGUCGAGCACUUGUACGUAACUUCGAUAUUACGGCUGGGCGGUGUGAGCUCGUUUUGCCCGACCAAAGGGCGUGGCUGAAGUCGUGCCCGACAGACAUUUCAAUUUGCUAAUUAAUAUUUCUUUUCCCAAAAUUGUGGACGUGGGAGGGGAAGAAAUGUUUUUCGGACAUACCAUUUUUCUCUAAUUUUCGAACUAAUGUACCGUAUUUUGUACAAUUGUUCAGUAAUAUUUUUGGGGUCGCACCCCCCUCCAAAAAUCCCCUAGUAGUUACGGCCCCGGUUCCUGAUUCGGGUGAACCAACCGCACGCUGUCGUACGAGGACUAGGGCACAUGCCCAUGAGAGUUGACAUAUGCAGUCAUGCGACCUUACUAUCAAACAUGUAUAAUAUAUAUUUCUAUUUAAUUAAGUUAAAACAUUGUGAGAACACGGACUCAUUAAACCUUUAUUUUGUUAAUAACCUGGCCUAAAUUUGGAGCGCACGAAAAAAAUUUAAUAUAAACACAAAUUUGAUUUGUAUAAGGGCAGCUAUUGCUAUAUGCCUUAGCCUAAAAGUCCUUUUUCCAUUCAAAUAUUUUCAGUGCUGUUUCAAUAAAGGACAGCUUGCUAUUGCUAUAUACCUUAGCCUAAAAGUCCUUUUCCAUUCAAAUAUUUUCAGUGCUGUUUCUAUAAAGGGCAGCUUGCUAUUGCUAUAUGCCUUAGCAUAAAAGUCUUUUUUCCAUUCAAAUAUUUUCAGUGCUGUUUCUAUAAAGGCAGCUUGCUAUUGCUAUAUGCCUUGGCCUAAAAGUCUUUUUUCCAUCCAAAUAUUUUCAAUGCUGUUCUUAUAAAAGAGCAGCUUGCUAUUGCUAUAUGCCUUAGUCUAAAAGUCUUUUUCCAUCCAAAUAUUUUCAGUGCUGUUUCUAUAAAGGGCAGCUUGCUAUUGCUAUGUGCCUUGGCCUAAAGUCUUUUUUCCAUUCAAAUAUUUUCAGUGCUGUUUCUAUAAAGGGCAGCUUGCUAUUGCUAUAUGCCUUGGCCUAAAAGUCUUUUUUCCAUUCAAAUAUUUUCAGUGCUGUUUCUAUAAAGGGCAGCUUGCUAUUGCUAUAUGCCUUGGCCUAAAAGUCUUUUUCCAUCCAAAUAUUUUCAAUGCUGUUCCUAUAAAAGGGCAGCUUGCUAUUGCUAUAUGCCUUAGUCUAAAAGUCCUUUUUCCAUUCAAAUAUUUUCAGUGCUGUUUCUAUAAAGGGCAGCUUGCUAUUGCUAUAUGCCUUGGCCUAAAAGUCUUUUUUCCAUUCAAAUAUUUUCAGUGCUGUUUCUAUAAAAGGCAGCUUGCUAUUGCUAUAUGCCUUAGCCUAAAAGUCUUUUUUCCAUUCAAAUAUUUUCAGUGCUGUUUCUAUAAAAGGGCAGCUUGCUAUUGCUAUAUGCCUUGGCCUAAAAGUCUUUUUUCCAUUCAAAUAUUUUCAGUGCUGUUUCUAUAAAAGGGCUGCUUGCUAUUGCUAUAUGCCUUGGCCUAAAAGUCUUUUUUCCAUCCAAAUAUUUUCAAUGCUGUUCCUAUAAAGGACAGCUUGCUAUUGCUAUAUGCCUUAGUCUAAAAGUCCUUUUUCCAUUCAAAUAUUUUCAGUGCUGUUUCUAUAAAGGGCAGCUUGCUAUUGCUAUAUGCGUUAGCAUAAAAGUCUUUUUUCCAUCCAAAUAUUUUCAAUGCUGUUCCUAUAAAAGGGCAGCUUGCUAUUGCUAUAUGCCUUAGUCUAAAAGUCUUUUUUUUUUCAUUCAAAUAUUUUCAGUGCUGUUUCUAUAAAGGGCAGCUUGCUAUUGCUAUAUAUGCCUUAGCCUAAAUUUCUUUUCUUUUUUUCAUCCAAACAUUUUCAGUGCUGUUUCUAUAAAGGGCAGCUUGCUAUUGCUAUAUGCGUUAGCAUAAAAGUCUUUUUUCCAUCCAAAUAUUUUCAAUGCUGUUCCUAUAAAAGGGCAGCUUGCUAUUGCUAUAUGCCUUAGUCUAAAAGUCUUUUUUUUUUCAUUCAAAUAUUUUCAGUGCUGUUUCUAUAAAGGGCAGCUUGCUAUUGCUAUAUAUGCCUUAGCCUAAAUUUCUUUUCUUUUUUUCAUCCAAACAUUUUCAGUGCUGUUUCUAUAAAGGGCAGCUUGCUAUUGCUAUAUGCGUUAGCAUAAAAGUCUUUUUUCCAUCCAAAUAUUUUCAAUGCUGUUCCUAUAAAAGGGCAGCUUGCUAUUGCUAUAUGCCUUAGUCUAAAAGUCUUUUUUUUUUCAUUCAAAUAUUUUCAGUGCUGUUUCUAUAAAGGGCAGCUUGCUAUUGCUAUAUAUGCCUUAGCCUAAAUUUCUUUUCUUUUUUUCAUCCAAACAUUUUCAGUGCUGUUUCUAUAAAGGGCAGCUUGCUAUUGCUAUAUGCGUUAGCAUAAAAGUCUUUUUUCCAUCCAAAUAUUUUCAAUGCUGUUCCUAUAAAAGGGCAGCUUGCUAUUGCUAUAUGCCUUAGUCUAAAAGUCUUUUUUUUUCCAUUCAAAUAUUUUCAGUCUGUUUCUAUAAAAGGCAGCUUGCUAUUGCUAUAUGCCUUAGCUAAACAGCUUCUUUUUCUAUUUAAAAUAUUUUCAUUUAAAAAAUUUAAUACAAACACAAAUUUGAUUUGAAUUAAUGAAUUUGUAAUUCUUUUUUAGAAUGGAUCCAGAUGAAAAUGUGCGUCGUUGGAAAACCCAAUACACCCCAUUACUGCGGUAGGCAGUCAAGCUUUUUUAACCUACACAAUUUUAUUUUGAUUGCCCGUAUUUUUGUUUUUUAUUUUCAUAUCUAUCAUGACCCAUGACUUUAAGAUUGGAAAGAGUUGAGAUCCCCACUCGACUGCAUGCCUUUCCUGAUAUUCAUAGACUCUGUCUCCAUGGUACCAUUUUACCACUAAGAACUGUAUUUGAAGCAGAAAACAAUGGAGCCGAUCUAUAUGUUCAUGGCUCAUAAGUUUAUACUCGUGAUAUCCCUCGGUGAGCUUCAGCUCUUGGAG